CCAUGGCCAGGGCAGAAGAGCUGAUACUGAGUUUGGUGGCAGUAGCACCCCAGUUCUUACUUGAAAAUGAAAGCAGACAUAGCACACUGUGGUAUUUACAGAUCCAUUUACAGGUCCUUAUUUCAGGGUGAAGAUGACUUUCAGAUGGGAGAAAACAGAAUGCUGAAGCAGGGAUCUCUGCUAGGUCUCUUCAUCAAGAAAGAGUGAGAGCAGGAGCCCUGAGAUGAGGCAGCAGCUUCAGCCCUGCAGGAGGACAGACUUCUGGAAGAAGAAAGCCUCUGGUUUCCAGGAGCUCUGCUCUUCACAAAAUGGUUUAUCCCAUCUGAAGAACUCUGUAACAGAACCACUUCAGCCACCACAUUAUCUUGAUUCUUUCUAACAGGUACACGGGCAAAGGAAGAUAUUACUGACAUCAACUGAAUAAAAAGUAACUCCUGUAAAAAUA